rnacentral:lncRNA from 1 species
CAAAUAACAAAAUUAAAUUUUGCUGCACCACUUCUACUUCUCACAUUUAGUUUGAGUUAUAAAAACACAAAAGAAAAAAAAGCUAAUACUAUUGUCGGUUUUAUAAGGAGUAAAUCUCAUUUGAUUGCAUUCGCCGCCAAUACAUUUAUCGUAAUCAAAUCCUUUAGUUGAGUUUCUAUUAAAUAAGUAAUAGGAUAAACUACACCUAUGGUUAUUUUUGUUUACUUUGGAUUACAUUUAAGUCACUUAUGUUUGAAAUAUUACAUUUUAGUCACUUACGUUAUCAUGUUGUAACAUGUUAGUCACUGAGCUAUUAAUUGUUGUUAACGGUGUACUAGUAAGCUGACGUGACACAUUAAAAAUCAUCAUUUCAAACAAAAAUUUAGGUUAAAUUAUACAAUUGGUCCCCAUAUUUUUUUCGCUUUGAGCAAUUUAAUUUUUUGUUUUAUGAUUGUAGUAGGCCCAAAUUGGCCCAGGCCCGUGUGGAAUAAAUAAUGGGACACAGCCCAAUUUUUACAAAGCCCAAAUUAAACCCUAGCCUUAACCCCCCUCAAAAAAAGAGAACCAUAGCAGCAUUUGCCAGUAGCCGCCGCAGCUCACCCUCUCCGCACAAAUCGCGCCUCCACGAUCGUCGUACCUGCGAGAAAAGCGGAUCCAACAUCAGUAUUCAUCGCAACAAUAACAAGAAAAUAAGGAUUCUUUUGAUUUUUUUUUUUGAUAUUUUGAUGUUUUAUUUCGGUUAUAUAAACCGAUUGUAAAAAAGAUAAAAGGGGAAUUUUUGGCAAUGUAAAAAAGCACAGAGAAAAGAAAUCGAAAGAAAAACAGAGAAUACAAAGUUUUUUUCUUAAGGUGAAUCGGGUUCCUAUAGUUUUAUUUUUAUUUUUUUUUCUUUUGCGUUUUAUGCUUUUUUAAAGAAAUAAAAGAAGCAAACAGAAGAGGAAACUUACCUUUUCGCUGAAAUUGCCGAGUUGGUGCCCUCUCCGUCGAGAUUGGAGACCGGGCAUCGACGAAGGCCGUGGGUAUAAAGCUGACCGGCGGCGCUCAAGGGUUUGGAGAAGCCCUAAAAGAACAUAUGUUCUUUUUUGCUUCAGAGAAAAUAGAAAUAGGUUUAAAUUAUUUUUUUUUUAAUUUUAAGAAUGGACAAAGCAGG